rnacentral:tRNA from 1 species
GUCGACGUGGCCGAGUGGUCUAAGGCGUUGGUUUUGAACACCAAUAUGUUUACAUGCGCAGGUUCGAAUCCUGUCGUCGACG